rnacentral:misc_RNA from 1 species
AUGAAGUAUAGGGAGUUGUAGCUGGCUCUAUUCGAGCAUGUGCACACUCCUUCACUUUACUUUACCACCUGUGCACCUUUUGUAGACUUAGUGAUUCAGUUGUCAAAGACUGUAUUUGGAGUUGGGUACUAUUGUGCUCUCUCUAUUGUCACUAGUCUAUGUUUUAUACACACUAUGUAUGUCCAGCAUGUCAUUAACAGGUCUUUGACCUUUAAUACAAUA